ensembl:lncRNA
CGCAGUUUGUGACGCCGUCCAAGUGCUGCAAUAAGCGCCGUCAUUUACAGCAUCUUCACUCACUCAUGUCGCCGUCUAAAGCGCCAUUGCUCCUGUACUACACGGCAUUUGCGACGCCUUUGUUGAUGUCAAUAAGCGCUGUAACUUACAGCGUUCUGUAUCACUUUGGUUUGGUUUCCAUUUCAUAUUUGGAUUUUGCAUCAAUCACAUGGCUAGAUUUCAACCAAUCGCUGAAGAGAACAACUUUGAAACACGGAAAAAUAACAAGAACCGCAGCAAGUAAAACUGCACUAUCUAAGACGACUGUAGGAAGAAAUGGAGAAACCUCAGGGACAGAUACAUAAAAGAGAAAAGAGCAGAGAAGGAGAAAAAGAGGAGUGGGGCUGCAGCCAGCAGCCACCGUCCUUGGCGGGGAGGAGAGAGGAGAGGAGAGCAGAAGAGCGGAAGAUGAGAUUAGAGAAGAGAACAUUGAGCUAGAAAAUGUUACUGUCCAUGAGGAACCCAUGUCUGAUGAAGACUCAUCUUCAGCCACAAGCUCUUCACAAGCUACCAGACCCAGACCCCAUACACGGAGGCAUCGGACAGGACAAGCCACCCCCAACAUGACGCCAUUUCAGCAGCGCCUCCUGACUGCCAUUGAGGUAGAAGCCACCAUUCCACCAAGACCCGAUGAUGAGGAUGAGCUUUUUGCUAAAACCAUCGUGCCCUCACUAAAAAGACUACCAACACAGAAGAAGGCUUAUGUAAAAAUGCAAAUUCUCCAGCUGCUUUAUGAUGCAGAAUUUAAUUAGAUUAUAUGAAAAUAUGACGUCCCAGGAUUUCCUUCUACAUGGUGCAACUGUUCCAGCCCUGCAUCACACCCACCCACACACACACACACACACAUAGAACCACAUCACAUAAACUCAUUCAAUAAAGUGCUUUUUUGGAAAUGCUUGUUUAUUGUUGAAAU